AGUGAACGCUGGCGGUAGGCCUAACACAUGCAAGUCGAACGGCAGCACAGUAAGAGCUUGCUCUUACGGGUGGCGAGUGGCGGACGGGUGAGGAAUACAUCGGAAUCUACUUUUUCGUGGGGGAUAACGUAGGGAAACUUACGCUAAUACCGCAUAUGACCUACGGGUGAAAGCAGAGGAUCUUCGGACCUUGCGCGAUUGAAUGAGCCGAUGUCGGAUUAGCUAGUUGGCGGGGUAAAGGCCCACCAAGGCGACGAUCCGUAGCUGGUCUGAGAGGAUGAUCAGCCACACUGGAACUGAGACACGGUCCAGACUCCUACGGGAGGCAGCAGUGGGGAAUAUUGGACAAUGGGCGCAAGCCUGAUCCAGCCAUACCGCGUGGGUGAAGAAGGCCUUCGGGUUGUAAAGCCCUUUUGUUGGGAAAGAAAAGCAGCAGGUUAAUACCCCGCUGUUCUGACGGUACCCAAAGAAUAAGCACCGGCUAACUUCGUG
rnacentral:rRNA from 1 species